rnacentral:rRNA from 1 species
CAGCAGCCGCGGUAAUACGUAUGGAGCAAGCGUUAUCCGGAUNUACUGGGUGUAAAGGGUGCGUAGGUGGCAGUGCAAGUCAGAUGUGAAAGGCCGGGGCUCAACCCCGGAGCUGCAUUUGAAACUGCAUAGCUAGAGUACAGGAGAGGCAGGCGGAAUUCCUAGUGUAGCGGUGA